AGAGUUUGAUCCUGGCUCAGAGCGAACGCUAGCGGCGGGCUUAACACAUGCAAGUCGAGCGGAGGGGCAACCCUUAGCGGCGAACGGGUGAGUAACGCGUAGGUAACGUGCCUUCAGGUGGGGAACAACCGUGGGAAACCAUGGCUAAUACCGCAUAAUGUCGAAAGAUGAAAGCCUUCGGGCGCCUGGAGAGCGGCCUGCGUCCCAUUACCUAGUUGGUAGGGUAACGGCCUACCAAGGGAACGAUGGGUAGCUGGUCUAAGAGGAUGAUCAGCCACACUGGAACUGAGACACGGUCCAGACUCCUACGGGAGGCAGCAGUGGGGAAUAUUGCGCAAUGGGGGAAACCCUGACGCAGCCACGCCGCGUGAGUGAAGAAGGCCUUCGGGUCGUAAAGCUCAGUCGGGAGAGACGAAGGGGUAAAACUCUGACGGUAUCUCGCAAGAAAGCACCUAACUCUGUGCCAGCAGCCGCGGUAAUACAGAGGGUGCAAGCGUUGCUCGGAUUUACUGGGCGUAAAGCGUACGCAGACGGACCGUCAAGUCGGGAGUGAAAGCCCUGGGCUCAACCCAGGAACGGCUUUCGAUACUAGCGGUCUUGAGUUUGGGAGAGGGAAGCGGAAUUCCUGGUGUAGAGGUGAAAUUCGUAGAUAUCAGGAGGAACACCGGCGGCGAAGGCGGCUUCCUGGCCCAAUACUGACGUUCAGGUACGAAAGCGUGGGUAGCAAACAGGAUUAGAUACCCUGGUAGUCCACGCUGUAAACGAUGAGUGCUGGAUGUCGGAGGUAUUCACCCCUUCGGUAUCGAAGCUAACGCGUUAAGCACUCCGCCUGGGGAGUACGGCCGCAAGGUUGAAACUCAAAGGAAUUGACGGGGGCCCGCACAAGCGGUGGAGUAUGUGGUUUAAUUCGACCCACGCGCAGAACCUUACCCAGCCUUGACAUCCUUGGAACCGAGUGGAAACACUUGGGUGCUCUCGCAAGAGAGAGCCAGGAGACAGGUGCUGCAUGGCUGUCGUCAGCUCGUGUCGUGAGAUGUUCGGUUAAGUCCGGCAACGAGCGCAACCCCUGUCUUCAGUUGCCAUCAUUCAGUUGGGCACUCUGGAGAGACUGCCGGCGUCAAGCCGGAGGAAGGUGGGGAUGACGUCAAGUCCUCAUGGCCUUUAUGGUUGGGGCUACACACGUACUACAAUGAUGACUACAAAGGGCAGCCAACCCGCGAGGGGGAGCAAAUCCCAAAAAAGUC
rnacentral:rRNA from 1 species